rnacentral:misc_RNA from 1 species
UUAAGUUCAGCGGGUAUCCCUACCUGAUCCGAGGUCAACCUGUAAAAAGAGGUUUAACGGCGCGCGCCGUCUGAUCCCGGGAGCGAAUUGAAGAUUCACAACGCUCGGAGACAGACGACUCGGCCGGCGACAUUGGGGCGCGCGGAGGACCGCGACGCCCAAUACCAAGCCAGGCUUGAGUGGUGUAAUGACGCUCGAAC